AUGAAAGAUCUACAUUUAGGUGGCUUUAAGGUCAUAAGGGAACCCUGUGAAAGUCAGGGACGGCCACGCCGCUGUAAUCCUGCCCUUUUUGAAAAAGGGAAUCCCUUCAGCAAAUGAUUAGCCACUGUCUCUUGAUAAGCUCGGGAUGGGAAGGCUGCUGAAAGGACGGGAGAGUCAGAAAACCUGCUUGAGGCGCUUCACAAUA
rnacentral:ncRNA from 2 species